GGACGAACGCUGGGCGGCGUGCUAACACAUGCAAGUCGAGCGGAGAUGCCAAGGAGCAAUCCAAGGUGUCUUAGCGGCGGACGGGUGAGUAACACGUGGGUAACCUACCCCAAGGAGGGGGAUAACAGGUCGAAAGGCCUGCUAAUACCGCAUAAAGCUUAUGUAUCGCAUGAUGCAUAAGCCAAAGGAGGAAUCCGCCUUGGGAUGGGCCCGCGGCCCAUUAGCUAGUUGGUGAGGUAACGGCUCACCAAGGCGACGAUGGGUAGCCGGCCUGAGAGGGUGGUCGGCCACACUGGGACUGAGACACGGCCCAGACUCCUACGGGAGGCAGCAGUGGGGAAUAUUGCGCAAUGGGGGAAACCCUGACGCAGCGACGCCGCGUGAGCGAAGAAGGCCCUUUCGGGUUGUAAAGCUCUGUCUUCCCUGACGAAGAAAGUGACGGUAAGGGAGGAGGAAGCCACGGCUAACUACGUGCCAGCAGCCGCGGUAAUACGUAGGUGGCGAGCGUUGUCCGGAAUUACUGGGCGUAAAGGAUGCGUAGGCGGCUCCUUAAGUGAGGUGUGAAAUCCCUGGGCUCAACCCCAGGAACUGCACUUCAAACUGGGGAGCUAGAGUGCAGGAGAGGAAAGCGGAAUUCCCGGUGUAGCGGUGAAAUGCGUAGAGAUCGGGAGGAACACCAGUGGCGAAGGCGGCUUUCUGGACUGUAACUGACGCUGAGGCACGAAAGCGUGGGGAGCAAACAGGAUUAGAUACCCUGGUAGUCCACGCUGUAAACGAUGAGUGCUAGGUGUGGGAGGCGUAGCCCUUCCGUGGCCCGCAGUUAACACAUUAAAGCACUCCGCCUGGGGGAGUACGGUCGCAAGAUUAAAAACUCAAAGGGAAUUGACGGGGGCCCGCACAAAGCAGCGGAGCAUGUGGUUUAAUUCGAAAGCAACGCGAAGAAACUCUUACCCAGGGCUUGACAUCCCACCCGAACCCUGUGGAGACAUGGGGGUGCCCCCUUUUGGGGAGCGGUGAGACAAGGUGGUGCAAUGGUUGUCGUCAAGCUCGUGUCGUGAGAUGUUGGGUUAAAGUCCCGCAAACGGAGGCGCCAACCCCCCUAUCGUUAGUUGCCCAGCCACUUUCGGGUGGGGCCACUUCUAAACGGAGACUGCCCAGGGGUAACCUGGGAGGGAAAGGGUGGGGGAAUGACGUUCAAAAUCCAUCAUGCCCCCCUUUAUGCCCCUGGG
rnacentral:rRNA from 1 species